UGCUGCAGAAGGACAAGGAAUCCACCAGUAGCUGCAGGGCUGAGCUGCAGCUCAGCAGGGAGGUUGUCCAACACUUUAUUAUCAAUCAGGGCCACAAAAAUCAAUGGAGUUGUGCUGUGGAACCUGUGCUCAUCACGGACAGAAGAAGAGCAGCUGUCAAGGCCCCGUGUAACCAUGAGAUGGAAGAGCUACAGGGAACAGCACCUGCCUGCAGUGACAGCACACCAGGAAACUGCACCAGGGUCUUAACUUUGCAGAUGCCCUCGGAUUUGAAAUCUGGAGCUUGAGCCGUGACAGAGCCGUGCAAAGUCUGCCCACUUUCCCUGAGCUGCAGUUCUGUGAUCCACGUGCAAAUGAGCUCUCAAAUCACUCUCAGACCAUUUGUUCCAACACCUCCACAUCCCCCAACCCCACACGUCCUGUGUGAUAGGUGCAUGUGCAAGAGAAGUGCCCAGCCCUGGAACAAUUAUGUGGAUUAGUGCUUUAAUUGCAUGGCUAAGGCUUGCCAACGGGGUUUGUAGCAACAAUUACACGGAAAGAGUCACAACUAAUGCUGAUAAAGAAAAAAGAUUUUC